AAUGUAGUUUGUGAUGCACACUUUUUUCCCCGUCUUAUCGACCAUGGUGAGGGAAAACUCAAAACUUUGCCAGUUGUGUCUGAAACUACAUG
ensembl:snoRNA